rnacentral:rRNA from 1 species
GACGAACGCUGGCGGCGUGCUUAACACAUGCAAGUCGAACGGAAAGGCCCUGCUUGCAGGGUACUCGAGUGGCGAACGGGUGAGUAACACGUGGGUGAUCUGCCCUGCACUUCGGGAUAAGCUUUGGAAACUGGGUCUAAUACCGGAUAGGAACCAUCUUUAGUGUGGUGGUUGGAAAGUUUUUUCGGUGUAGGAUGAGCUCGCGGCCUAUCAGCUUGUUGGUGGGGUAAUGGCCUACCAAGGCGGCGACGGGUAGCCGGCCUGAGAGGGUGUACGGCCACAUUGGGACUGAGAUACGGCCGAGACUACUACGGGAGGCAGCAGUGGGGAAUAUUGCACAAUGGGCGCCAGCCUGAUGCAGCGACGCCGCGUGGGGGAUGAAGGCCUUCGGGUUGUAAAAUCCUUUCGCUAGGGACGAAGCUUUGUUGUGACGGUAACUAGAUAAGAAGCACCGGCUAACUACGUG